CAGGCUUAACACAUGCAAGUCGAGGGGCAGCAUGGUCUUAGCUUGCUAAGGCCGAUGGCGACCGGCGCACGGGUGAGUAACACGUAUCCAACCUGCCGUCUACUCUUGGACAGCCUUCUGAAAGGAAGAUUAAUACAAGAUGGCAUCAUGAGUCCGCAUGUUCACAUGAUUAAAGGUAUUCCGGUAGACGAUGGGGAUGCGUUCCAUUAGAUAGUAGGCGGGGUAACGGCCCACCUAGUCUUCGAUGGAUAGGGGUUCUGAGAGGAAGGUCCCCCACAUUGGAACUGAGACACGGUCCAAACUCCUACGGGAGGCAGCAGUGAGGAAUAUUGGUCAAUGGGCGAGAGCCUGAACCAGCCAAGUAGCGUGAAGGAUGACUGCCCUAUGGGUUGUAAACUUCUUUUAUAAAGGAAUAAAGUCGGGUAUGGAUACCCGUUUGCAUGUACUUUAUGAAUAAGGAUCGGCUAACUCCGUGCCAGCAGCCGCGGUAAUACGGAGGAUCCGAGCGUUAUCCGGAUUUAUUGGGUUUAAAGGGAGCGUAGAUGGAUGUUUAAGUCAGUUGUGAAAGUUUGCGGCUCAACCGUAAAAUUGCAGUUGAUACUGGAUAUCUUGAGUGCAGUUGAGGCAGGCGGAAUUCGUGGUGUAGCGGUGAAAUGCUUAGAUAUCACGAAGAACUCCGAUUGCGAAGGCAGCCUGCUAAGCUGCAACUGACAUUGAGGCUCGAAAGUGUGGGUAUCAAACAGGAUUAGAUACCCUGGUAGUCCACACGGUAAACGAUGAAUACUCGCUGUUUGCGAUAUACUGCAAGCGGCCAAGCGAAAGCGUUAAGUAUUCCACCUGGGGAGUACGCCGGCAACGGUGAAACUCAAAGGAAUUGACGGGGGCCCGCACAAGCGGAGGAACAUGUGGUUUAAUUCGAUGAUACGCGAGGAACCUUACCCGGGCUUAAAUUGCAGAUGAAUUACGGUGAAAGCCGUAAGCCGCAAGGCAUCUGUGAAAGUGCUGCAUGGUUGUCGUCAGCUCGUGCCGUGAGGUGUCGGCUUAAGUGCCAUAACGAGCGCAACCCUUGUUGUCAGUUACUAACAGGUUCCGCUGAGGACUCUGACAAGACUGCCAUCGUAAGAUGUGAGGAAGGUGGGGAUGACGUCAAAUCAGCACGGCCCUUACGUCCGGGGCUACACACGUGUUACAAUGGGGGGUACAGAGGGCCGCUACCACGCGAGUGGAUGCCAAUCCCCAAAACCUCUCUCAGUUCGGACUGGAGUCUGCAACCCGACUCCACGAAGCUGGAUUCGCUAGUAAUCGCGCAUCAGCCACGGCGCGGUGAAUACGUUCCCGGGCCUUGUACACACCGCCCGUCAAGCCAUGGGAGCCGGGGGUACCUGAAGUGCGUAACCGCGAGGAGCGCCCUAGGGUAAAACUGGUGACUGGG
rnacentral:rRNA from 1 species